rnacentral:rRNA from 1 species
AGCCCCCCGAGUGGUGGGGAUGUUUAUUUGGCCUAAAGCGUCCGUAGCCGGCCCGGUAAAUCUCUCGUUAAAUCCAGCGUCCUAAGCGUUGGGCUGCGAGGGAAACUGCCAGGCUAGAGGGUGGGAGAGGUCAGCGGUAUUUCUGGGGUAGGGGCGAAAUCCAUUGAUCCCAGGAGGACCACCAGUGGCGAAGGCUGCUGACUAGAACACGCCUGACGGUCAGGGACGAAAGCUGGGGUAGCGAAUCGGAUUAGAUACCCGAGUAGUCC